GUGUUCUUGCUUUGGCCACACAUAUACUAAAAUUGGACCAAGACAAAGAAUAUAAGUAUGGUCCCUGUGCAAGAGUGACAUGAAAAUUCAUGAAGCGUUCCAUAUUUUU
rfam:Callipepla squamata strain Texas jcf7180005231278, whole genome shotgun sequence.